GGCUGGCUAGCUUAGUUGAUAAGGCAUUAGACUCGGGAUCUCAGGGUUGUGGGUUCGAGCCCCAUGUUGGCCA